rnacentral:lncRNA from 1 species
GCUCGCUUCAGGCUCCUGCUACCUUCUGCGGGCGGAACGUGGGUGUCCCGGGAAGGGACGGACCCCAUCUCUACUAUGCCGCAAGCGCGUUGUGUCAACAGGCUGGCUGUGGACGGCCCGAUGAGCGUUACUUGAUUUUGUACUUUCGGCCACCUCCAAUUUUCUCAGAACGCAACAUAAGAAAANCUGUUCAACCCAAGGUCCAGACUUUUCAAGGGCUACUCUAUGGUAGUCCGAACUACUCACGGCUGACACUUGGCACCUAGUCUUCAUUCUGGGACCCCAGAGACAUUCUUCCCUGCUGUGACUAUGCAUGGGGAGGUGUGUCCGCUGCCCGGCAUCUCAGCUUCACAAGAGGCCCCACAGGGGUCUCUCACUUGAAGGACAAGGGCCAGGGAGACCAUGUCAGUGGGAAUUACCUGUGAGGUCACGAGCUGCUGCUUCUAGUUCACUCUCUGACCUCUUCCUGAAGAAGCCAAGCUGCAGAGAUGAGCUACAAAGGACAUUCUCAGAGCUGUCAAAAAGAAUCAGAGGAGAAAGGCUUCAAAGAAGACUCCGAGACCAGACCAGCUGCUUGGAAAAAGCAGAAGCCAGCUGAGCUGUCUGGAAGAAGUUUAGAUCAACUGAGGCACCUGGGAAGGACAAUCCACCUCCAACCUGCUGAGCUUCAUAAGUGCUGUGUGUUCCAGGUACCCAGCUUUGUGAGCUGUGGCCCAUGCUGGGGUAGGCUUUGGUGAUACUGCUGGUUUUGAGUCAUUUCUACUCCUAGAGAAAGGCAACGAAGAACUUCUCGUGGUGUUCCGGCUGACUCGGGCUGAUUCUGCUGACUCGUGCUGAUUUGGCAAAUCCUUGGGGUUUCAGCUGGAUGGAGCCACUGCUACUGAUUUGUGCUUGGUGUUUGCUAUUGGACUUAACUGCUGAUAUCCUGACAAAGGACUACUUCUAAACAGGUCUACAGACCCCUUUCCUUUUAACCUUCUUUUCCCACUACCUCUGGGUGGUGGGCUAGAAGAGAGGUUUAAUUAAGAACCGUAAUUAAAGUAAGUUUGGAAAACUCU